AUUGAACGCUGGCGGCAGGCCUAACACAUGCAAGUCGAGCGGAUGAAGGGAGCUUGCUCCUGGAUUCAGCGGCGGACGGGUGAGUAAUGCCUAGGAAUCUGCCUGGUAGUGGGGGAUAACGUCCGGAAACGGGCGCUAAUACCGCAUACGUCCUGAGGGAGAAAGUGGGGGGUCUUCGGACCUCACGCUAUCAGAUGAGCCUAGGUCGGAUUAGCUAGUUGGUGGGGUAAAGGCCUACCAAGGCGACGAUCCGUAACUGGUCUGAGAGGAUGAUCAGUCACACUGGAACUAAGACACGGUCCAGACUCCUACGGGAGGCAGCAGUGGGGAAUAUUGGACAAUGGGCGAAAGCCUGAUCCAGCCAUGCCGCGUGUGUGAAGAAGGUCUUCGGAUUGUAAAGCACUUUAAGUUGGGAGGAAGGGCAGUAAGUUAAUACCUUGCUGUUUUGACGUUACCAACAGAAUAAGCACCGGCUAACUUCGUG
rnacentral:rRNA from 1 species